rnacentral:misc_RNA from 1 species
UCCGAGUUGACCCCGGCAGUCUCCUAUGAGUCCCCACCACCCCGAAGGGCGUGCUGGCAACAUAGAACGAGGGUUGCGCUCGUUGCGGGACUUAACCCAACAUCUCACGACACGAGCUGACGACAGCCAUGCACCACCUGUGAUCCUGCCCCGAAGGGAAGCCCUGUUUCCAGGGAUGUCAGGAACAUGUCAAGCCCAGGUAAGGUUCUUCGCGUUGCGUCGAAUUAAACCACAUGCUCCGCUGCUUGUGCGGGCCCCCGUCAAUUCCUUUGAGUUUCAGCCUUGCGGCCGUACUCCCCAGGCGGGGUACUUAAUGCGUUAGCGCCGGCACUCAGGGGGUCGCUCCCCCAAGCACCUAGUACCCAUCGUUUACGGCGUGGACUAC